rnacentral:rRNA from 2 species
UUAAGGCUGAGCUGUGAUGGGGAGAAGACAUUGUGUCUUCGAGUCGUUGAUUUCACACUGCCGAGAAAAGCCUCUAGAUAGAAAAUAGGUGCCCGUACCGCAAACCGACACAGGUAGUCAAGAUGAGAAUUCUAAGGUGAGCGAGCGAACUCUCGUUAAGGAACUCGGCAAAAUGACCCCGUAACUUCGGGAGAAGGGGUGCUCUUUAGGGUUAACGCCCAGAAGAGCCGCAGUGAAUAGGCCCAAGCGACUGUUUAUCAAAAACACAGGUCUCUGCUAAACCGUAAGGUGAUGUAUAGGGGCUGACGCCUGCCCGGUGCUGGAAGGUUAAGAGGAGUGGUUAGCUUCUGCGAAGCUACGAAUCGAAGCCCCAGUAAACGGCGGCCGUAACUAUAACGGUCCUAAGGUAGCGAAAUUCCUUGUCGGGUAAGUUCCGACCCGCACGAAAGGCGUAACGAUUUGGGCACUGUCUCAACGAGAGACUCGGUGAAAUCAUAGUACCUGUGAAGAUGCAGGUUACCCGCGACAGGACGGAAAGACCCCGUGGAGCUUUACUGUAGCCUGAUAUUGAAAUUCGGCACAGCUUGUACAGGAUAGGUAGGAGCCUUUGAAACGUGAGCGCUAGCUUACGUGGAGGCGCUGGUGGGAUACUACCCUAGCUGUGUUGGCUUUCUAACCCGCACCACUUAUCGUGGUGGGAGACAGUGUCAGGCGGGCAGUUUGACUGGGGCGGUCGCCUCCUAAAAGGUAACGGAGGCGCUCAAAGGUUCCCUCAGAAUGGUUGGAAAUCAUUCAUAGAGUGUAAAGGCAUAAGGGAGCUUGACUGCGAGACCUACAAGUCGAGCAGGGUCGAAAGACGGACUUAGUGAUCCGGUGGUUCCGCAUGGAAGGGCCAUCGCUCAACGGAUAAAAGCUACCCCGGGGAUAACAGGCUUAUCUCCCCCAAGAGUUCACAUCGACGGGGAGGUUUGGCACCUCGAUGUCGGCUCAUCGCAUCCUGGGGCUGUAGUCGGUCCCAAGGGUUGGGCUGUUCGCCCAUUAAAGCGGUACGCGAGCUGGGUUCAGAACGUCGUGAGACAGUUCGGUCCCUAUCCGUCGUGGGCGUAGGAAAUUUGAGAGGAGCUGUCCUUAGUACGAGAGGACCGGGAUGGACAUACCUCUGGUGUACCAGUUGUCGUGCCAACGGCAUAGCUGGGUAGCUAUGUGUGGACGGGAUAAGUGCUGAAAGCAUCUAAGCAUGAAGCCCCCCUCAAGAUGAGAUUUCCCAACUUCGGUUAUAAGAUCCCUCAAAGAUGAUGAGGUUAAUAGGUUCGAGGUGGAAGCAUGGUGACAUGUGGAGCUGACGAAUACUAAUCGAUCGAAGACUUAAUC